UGAACGCUAGCUACAGGCUUAACACAUGCAAGUCGAGGGGCAGCAUUUUAGUUUGCUUGCAAACUAAAGAUGGCGACCGGCGCACGGGUGAGUAACACGUAUCCAACCUGCCGAUAACUCGGGGAUAGCCUUUCGAAAGAAAGAUUAAUAUCCGAUAGUAUAUUAAAACCGCAUGGUUUUACUAUUAAAGAAUUUCGGUUAUCGAUGGGGAUGCGUUCCAUUAGUUUGUUGGCGGGGUAACGGCCCACCAAGACUACGAUGGAUAGGGGUUCUGAGAGGAAGGUCCCCCACAUUGGAACUGAGACACGGUCCAAACUCCUACGGGAGGCAGCAGUGAGGAAUAUUGGUCAAUGGACGAGAGUCUGAACCAGCCAAGUAGCGUAAAGGAUGACUGCCCUAUGGGUUGUAAACUUCUUUUAUAUGGGAAUAAAGUAUUCCACGUGUGGAAUUUUGUAUGUACCAUAUGAAUAAGGAUCGGCUAACUCCGUGCCAGCAGCCGCGGUAAUACGGAGGAUCCGAGCGUUAUCCGGAUUUAUUGGGUUUAAAGGGAGCGUAGGUGGAUUGUUAAGUCAGUUGUGAAAGUUUGCGGCUCAACCGUAAAAUUGCAGUUGAAACUGGCAGUCUUGAGUACAGUAGAGGUGGGCGGAAUUCGUGGUGUAGCGGUGAAAUGCUUAGAUAUCACGAAGAACUCCGAUUGCGAAGGCAGCUCACUAGACUGCAACUGACACUGAUGCUCGAAAGUGUGGGUAUCAAACAGGAUUAGAUACCCUGGUAGUCCACACAGUAAACGAUGAAUACUCGCUGUUUGCGAUAUACAGUAAGCGGCCAAGCGAAAGCAUUAAGUAUUCCACCUGGGGAGUACGCCGGCAACGGUGAAACUCAAAGGAAUUGACGGGGGCCCGCACAAGCGGAGGAACAUGUGGUUUAAUUAGAUGAUACGCGAGGAACCUUACCCGGGCUUAAAUUGCAUUUGAAUAAUCUGGAAACAGGUUAGCCGCAAGGCAAAUGUGAAGGUGCUGCAUGGUUGUCGUCAGCUCGUGCCGUGAGGUGUUGGCUUAAGUGCCAUAACGAGCGCAACCCUUAUCUUUAGUUACUAACAGGUCAUGCUGAGGACUCUAGAGAGACUGCCGUGGUAAGAUGUGAGGAAGGUGGGGAUGACGUCAAAUCAGCACGGCCCUUACGUCCGGGGCUACACACGUGUUACAAUGGGGGGUACAGAAGGCAGCUACCUGGUGACAGGAUGCUAAUCCCAAAAACCUCUCUCAGUUCGGAUGGAAGUCUGCAACCCGACUUCGUGAAGCUGGAUUCGCUAGUAAUCGCGCAUCAGCCAUGGCGCGGUGAAUACGUUCCCGGGCCUUGUACACACCGCCCGUCAAGCCAUGAAAGCCGGGGGUACCUGAAGUACGUAACCGCAAGGAGCGUCCUAGGGUAAAACUGA
rnacentral:rRNA from 1 species